rnacentral:misc_RNA from 1 species
AAGUCGUAACAAGGUUUCCGUAGGUGAACCUGCGGAAGGAUCAUUAUAAAAUUUCAUAUUAUUUAUUUAAUAUAUAAAAUUAUAUACAAAAUGUAUUCAAAACCCACAUUCUUUAUAACCAUAAAAAAAAUUAUAUUAUUAUUUAAUAUAAAAAAAAAACAACUUUCAACAACGGAUCUCUUGGCUCUC